GUAAGGAAUAUUGGUCAAUGGACGAAAGUCUGAACCAGCCAUGCCGCGUGAAGGAUGAAGGUCCUCUGGAUUGUAAACUUCUUUUAUCUGGGACGAAAAAAGGGAAUUCUUUCUCACUUGACGGUACCAGAAGAAUAAGCACCGGCUAACUCCGUGCCAGCAGCCGCGGUAAUACGGAGGGUGCAAGCGUUAUCCGGAUUCACUGGGUUUAAAGGGUGCGUAGGUGGGCAGUUAAGUCAGUGGUGAAAUCUCCGGGCUUAACCCGGAAACUGCCAUUGAUACUAUCUGUCUUGAAUACUCUGGAGGUAAGCGGAAUAUGUCAUGUAGCGGUGAAAUGCUUAGAUAUGACAUAGAACACCGAUUGCGAAGGCAGCUUACUACGGAGUCAUUGACACUGAGGCACGAAAGCGUGGGGAUCAAACAGGAUUAGAUACCCCAGUAGUCC
rnacentral:rRNA from 1 species